AGGAACAACAUUUAAACAAAGCCAGAAAAAACAGAAUUCUAUCUAACAGCCUAAGCAUAGUCCUCUCCUGAGAGGAGGGGUGUGGAUUUCAUUAUCAAUUCUAAAGACAAACCUUGGCUUUGAGGACUAAACCAACCAGCCUGAAACCUCUUCAAGAAGACAGGAAUACUCAGAAGAUGCAGAAUCUUUGGAAAAGAAAAAUAAAAGUCAUCUAUGAUGAUUCUGAUGGUACAGAAAGGGCAUGAAAAGAUGAAGAAAAGGUCUACCGGAUUCUGUGUUGUCUAAAAGUGUGUGAACAUUCCAUGUGCCGAUG